rnacentral:rRNA from 1 species
AUUGAACGCUGGCGGCAUGCCUUACACAUGCAAGUCGAACGGCAGCACGGGAGCAAUCCUGGUGGCGAGUGGCGAACGGGUGAGUAAUAUAUCGGAACGUGCCCAGUCGUGGGGGAUAACGUAGAGAGAGCUACGCUAAUACCGCAUACGAGCUAUGGAUGAAAGCGGGGGUUCGCAAGACCUCGCGCGAUUGGAGCGGCCGAUAUCAGAUUAGGUAGUUGGGGAGGUAAAGGCUCACAAAGCCGACGCUAUGUAGCUGGUCUUAGAGGACGACGAGCCACUCUGGGGCUGCGACACGGGCAAGACUCCUACGGGAGGCAGCAGUGGGGAAUUUUGGACAAUGGGCGCAAGCCUGAUCCAGCAAUGCCGCGUGCAGGAUGAAGGCCUUCGGGUUGUAAACUGCUUUUGUACGGAACGGAACGGUGAGCUCUAAUACAGUUUGCUAAUGACGGUACCGUAAGAAUAAGCACCGGCUAACUACGUGCCAGCCGCCGCAGUAAAAC